UCUUGAUGCAGCUGUGAUUCAUUAUACAAUGUGUUUAAGAAUAUGGAUGCUUAAAAGAAAAUUUGCCAAACAUUUGUGAGUCUUUUAACAAAUUGUCAAAAAUCUGAGGCAAUCGAAUUUUUAAUGGAAUAAGGUAUGCUGCUCUUAAGUUGCAUUAAAGGAUGAAGGUGUUCAUGAUACUUUAGUUCCAGUAAGGAAUUGAAAGAGUCGGUUCCAUUUUGCCAGAAAUUAGACCAAACCAAACUUGGCCUGCUCAAAAAGCAUUAUUGGAGAAAACAAAAAUUGUUAGCGUUGUUUUUUUUAGAAAAAUACUAUAUUUAAUGUUUGAGUUUGAUUCAUUUAUUUGGUUUGGCAUUGCAUUUUGAUUAAUUUUUUUGGUUUGUCAUGGGAUCAGUUGCUUUGUGUGGAUGGUGUUUUAAUCCAUUAGAAAGAAAUUUGAAUGGUAGAAGGAUAUUUCAGAUAUAAUACAUGAUUUCAUAUGUUAAUUGAAUGCUGUUGUUGUUGGGGUGGGG
rnacentral:misc_RNA from 1 species